rnacentral:rRNA from 1 species
ACCACAGGGAUUGCCUUAGUAGCGGCGAGUGAAGCGGCAAAAGCUCAAAUUUGAAAUCUGGCACCUUCGGUGUCCGAGUUGUAAUUUGAAGAUUGUAACCUUGGGGUUGGCUCUUGUCUAUGUUUCUUGGAACAGGACGUCACAGAGGGUGAGAAUCCCGUGCGAUGAGAUGCCCAAUCCUAUGUAAGGUGCUUUCGAAGAGUCGAGUUGUUUGGGAAUGCAGCUCUAAGUGGGUGGUAAAUUCCAUCUAAAGCUAAAUAUUGGCGAGAGACCGAUAGCGAACAAGUACAGUGAUGGAAAGAUGAAAAGAACUUUGAAAAGAGAGUGAAAAAGUACGUGAAAUUGUUGAAAGGGAAGG